rnacentral:rRNA from 1 species
GAUGAACGCUGGCGGCGUGCCUAAUACAUGCAAGUCGAACGCAUUGUGGUUGAAAUGAUAUGAAGAACUUGUUCAGAUUUGAUUUUCAACAUUGCAAUGAGUGGCGAACGGGUGAGUAACACGUGGGAAACCUACCUCUUAGCAGGGGAUAACAUUUGGAAACAAAUGCUAAUACCGUAUAAUAAUUAAAACCGCAUGGUUUUAGUUUAAAAGAUGGUCUUGCUAUCACUAAGAGAUGGUCCCGCGGUGUAUUAGUUAGUUGGUGAGGUAAUGGCUCACCAAGACAAUGAUACAUAGCCGAGUUGAGAGACUGACCGGCCACAAUGGGACUGAGACAGGCCCAUACUCCUACGGGAGGCAGCAGUAGGGAAUACUUCCACAAUGGACGAAAGUCUGAUGGAGCAACGCCGCGUGUGUGAUGAAGGGUUUCGGCUCGUAAAACACUGUUGUAAGAGAAGAAUGACAUUGAGAGUAACUGUUCAAU